GCUGAGUACCAUGACAGAGCUACUUUACAGCCAGCUCUCUAUAAUAAACAAAGCCACAAGUUCGUUUCCAUAAAAUCUGAAUCCCACUGGCCAGAGGGGACUUCUCCAGAACCUAAACUCAGCAUGGCUUUACUGAGCAGGCUUCCUUUCUACACCUCGAGGAGGCUAGUGACGGGGUGUUUGUGCACCCGGGGAAGGCUACUCGGGGGUGGCAAGAUUCUGGGGCAUUCAACUAGAGCAUCUGCCCUGCCUGCCUGUGGGGAUGUCACUUCACCUUUCUGUAUAUCUCAUGCUCACAGGGUAAUUUAUGAUGUUUUUCACAACCAAGAAAAACAGAAAAAGCAACCUUUAGAAGAUGUCUUUUGACUGUUGUGGUUCCAGCCCACUCUAAAUCACCCUGCAUCGGCCAAGAGGAGCUAAGAUGACAAGUACUCAGGAAACGUCUGCGUGGAGCAUGAGAGGCUAUUUGAUGAACAGGAGGGACCUCAUGCCACUCAUGAUGAACACAAGAGAGUAAAAGAAGGCUCAGGAACGGGUCGCCAGGGUAGAGUCAAAACAGACAGAGAGCUCUUUGCUUUUUAUGCUUGACGAGGAGCCUAAGGCCCAGCGAGGAAAGAGGACUGUGUCACUGCCCAGGCAUGUCAAGGACCCAAACUGCUGGCUAGUAGGGAGUAACUCACCUUACUCCAGGAAGUCAUACCCAUGGGUAAUUUUUUUAAUUAAGUGCCUUGGGCUUGUCAGUAACAUUUGUAACAUCUGACAAUAUCAUCUAUAGAAGUAUAAUUUGGUGGCACAGAACACACAAAAUCCAGUGUGUGAUCACUGAGAAGGAAUAUUUUAAUUUAUACACACUGCCUGGAAGUCUUCUGAACCCAAUUUCAGGAAAAGAUUUAAGUUCCAAAAAGUUAUGACAAACAUAAAUUUUAAUAUAUGACCUCAGAGUUGCAUUUACUGUAUAUUAGCAGCUUUGAAUUCAUUGAUUUCUUACAGAAGACAAAAAGGGAGGUUUUUAUAUAAAUGCUUAGGUAACUUCAAAAUUCAUGUGGGGUUGAUUAAAUAAAAAACAAAAAGCCCUGCCCUCCCCCAUCCAAAUACUGCCCUUCCUAUUUAAAAGGCUUCGGCACUGGUUAUGUGGCGACUCACCGCUUGGGAGGGGGGUUCAAAAAUUCAGCACACACACACACACACACACACACACACACACACAAUCAUUACAUCACAAUGUCAGUAUCUGUCAUUCUGUGGCACAGAGAAAAAGACAGACAGGAGCUGGGAGACACAGAGAGAGAGACAAAGACAGAAAGGGACAUAAAACGGAGUAUGUUGCCAAAACGAAAAGGACAACAGAAGACUUUGGAUGUCCAUUUGUUGAGUGAAUGCCUUUGAGAGCUUUUAUCAUCUUCAUCAUUAAGGCUUACCUCAGAUUUCUGGUCCUCCGGCAUAUACCCCAUGCUGACAACGGCUUGAUGUUUAAACCACUUUCUUCCUUGUUCUGAAGAAGGCCUUUAUUUGUCGUGUCAGAAGAAAAUCUCAGCAUCCUUGACAACCUUCACAUCCAAGAAUUUCAUCUUCAGAGUAAACUGUGCCUCAUUUAGUUCUUCUUAUUUGGCGUUCUGAAGAGGCUUGAGAGCCCAUGAGAUACUGCCGGCUGAUUCCCUUGUCUCUGCCUUCAAUCUUACCGUAGGAAUGUCUGGAUUACAGCUCAGGAAACACCACAGAAAGCAAGAAGAUGCCAUGCUGUGGGUUCAAGGCAAAGAUGGGGGACAGUUAUGGUUUGAAGUUUCAAGACCAACACGUUAAUGAUGGAGAAGGCUAAGGGGUUAGAUGUUUCGUGUUGGGUGCCAUUUGAAAGAGCCCUGGUACUCCAAUGACAGUCAUUAUUUAAAAUGAUGCAGGAGGGUCUCAGGCCCGCCAGACUGGCAGGGGGAACCGCAGAUGAGGGUCUUCUGAACACAGAGAAACUCCAUGACACCAGCACAGUGAUGGAAUCCCUGGUCCUCAACAGCCUGCUUGGACUGGUUCAGUUAUCUAUGGAGCCAAGAGAGAAACUGCAAGGAAGGAAGCUGUUAGCAGAGACACUGGGUAGGGAGAGCCAGCACAGAGAUGAAGAGAGAGCAUUGUCUUUACAUCGACAACAUAGAACCUGUAACUUGGGAAUAACUAGAGAAGCGGCGUGGAGAAGGCUCAAAAUGAGGCCGAGAGUUUGGGUCCCCGAAACCGAUGUAAAAGCUGGGCAGGCAUGGCAGCUCUCUCAACCAGCAGGGGGUAGAAAUAGAAUCCCUGCAGCUAGCUGGCUAGCAAGACUAGAUGAAAGGCAAGCUCCCUGUUCAACGAGGGACCUCACCUUAAUAUAUAAGGUGGGAAGAAGCAGAGGAAAUAUUUGGUGUUAGUUUGGGCCUGUACAUAUUCAUAAUAUUCACACACAAAUGCACCUGCAAGACAUGACAGGUGUGUGGGCAUGUGCACACACACACACACACACACACACACACACACACACACACAAAGAAAAGCCUCUGAAGACUAUUAGGGAGAGGCAGCUAUUGAGUUCCCACAGGAGGGUAAGUAGGCUAAGCGAUGUCAGAAUGGCGUCUCAAGGCCUCCUAUGAACCUGGGACACAGUUGAAGCUACAUAUCCAUCCCAAGGUAAAAACAACGAGAAAGGUCAUCUUGCAGGUUGCCUGACUGGGGUUUACAGGUAAGGAUCCUGGCUGAUGCCGUGCUGUUGGACUACCUUACAUUAACUGACUUCAUAAGUCACUGUUAGGGAUCUGGGGACAGGAAAUUGCAGGGAGUGAGUAAAAAUAUGAGUUAAUGUGUACUGUUUGGCAUCGGCAUGCACAAGUCAAGGAUCCCAAUGCCUUAGACUCACAACCUGCAACCCUUGCAGUUGAGAGGAGGAGAGACAGGUGACACUGUACGCUUCAACAUGCAACUUGACAGAAACAGCCUUAAUGUUUACUAGGCUUACCCUGACACUUCCUUUCCCUUGAUCCUCUUGUCAUUUGCAAAGGACCAGACCUGCCAAAGAAAAACAGCUACCUGUGGUCUGCUCAGUGCCACUUCUCUCAUCAAGGGAGACUAAACUUACACCAUUAAAGGAACUAAGCAAGCAGUGCACCCAGACCUGAGGACCUCUCCACUGGGAUCCUGUCUGCUCUCCAGGCUUCUCAGUUUUCUCUAAAUAGUCUUUACCUCCCCCUCUGAAGUGUCUACCGCUCCCCCAUCUCCCCUUGUCCUAUGCGGAAUGGCAUUUGAGUUCCCACUGUUUGACGUCACUUUUGGGUAUUAUUUGUUUUUGGCUCUUCCUUUUCGGUGAUUGGGAUCAAACUCGAGGUCUUACACAUGCUUAGCUUAUGCUCUGUAAUUGAACCUGAGUUUUUAGAUUCUAUAUAGCUUUGUGCAUGCACACAUUAAUAAACAUGUUGUGGACUUUUUCCUGUUAA